rnacentral:rRNA from 1 species
UACGUAGGGACCGAGCGUUGUCCGGAAUCAUUGGGCGUAAAGAGCGUGUAGGCGGCCCCUUAAGUCCUGCGUGAAAUCCUGCGGCUCAACCGCAGACGGUCGUGGGAAACUGGAGGCUAGAGUGCGGGAGAGGAGAGUGGAAUUCCCGGUGUAGCGGUGAAAUGCGCAGAUAUCGGGAAGAACACCCGUGGCGAAGGCGGCUCUCUGGAACGCAACUGACGCUGAGACGCGAAAGCGUGGGAGCAACAGG